rnacentral:rRNA from 1 species
UACGUAGGGAGCAAGGCGUUGUCCGGAAUUCAUUGGGCGUAAAGGCGCGCGUAGGUGGCUCCAUAAGUCCGUUGUGAAAGUCAAAGGCUCAACCUUUGAAGGCCGAUGGUAUACUGUGGAGCUAGAGUACGGAAGAGGCGAGUGGAAUUCCUGGUGUAGCGGUGGAAUGCGCAGAUAUCAGGAGGAACACCUGCGGUGUAGACGGCUUUCUGGACCAUUGCUGACGCUGAGACACGAAAGCGUGGGUAGCAAACAGG